rnacentral:rRNA from 1 species
AGGACGAACGCUGGCGGCGUGCUUAACACAUGCAAGUCGAGCGGAAAGGCCCUUCGGGGUACUCGAGCGGCGAACGGGUGAGUAACACGUGAGCAACCUGCCCUUGGCUCUGGGAUAGCCUCCGGAAACGGGGAUUAAUACCGGACAUUCACUUUUUCCUGCAUGGGGGAGGGUGGAAAGUUUUUCGGCCAGGGAGGGGCUCGCGGCCUAUCAGCUUGUUGGCGGGGUAAUGGCCCACCAAGGCGACGACGGGUAGCCGGCCUGAGAGGGCGAUCGGCCACACUGGGACUGAGACACGGCCCAGACUCCUACGGGAGGCAGCAGUGGGGAAUAUUGCACAAUGGGCGGAAGCCUGAUGCAGCGACGCCGCGUGGGGGAUGAAGGCCUUCGGGUUGUAAACCCCUUUCACCAGGAGCGAAUCAAGACGGUACCUGGGAAGAAGCGCCGGCUAACUACGUGCCAGCAGCCGC